rnacentral:rRNA from 1 species
UUACGGAGAGUUUGAUUCUGGCUCAGAACGAACGCUGGCGGCGUGGAUUAGGCAUGCAAGUCGAACGGGACCUUCGCGGUAGCAAUAUCUAGGAGGUCCAGUGGCGGAAGGGUGAGUAACGCGCGGGUAAUCUACCUCGAAGUUGGGAAUAGCCUGGGGAAACUUGGGAUAAUUCCGAAUGUGGUCGGCCGGUGACAAUCGGCCUAUCUAAAGCUGGGGACCGUAAGGCCUGGCGCUUUGAGAUGAGCCCACGUCCUAUCAGCUAGUUGGUGAGGUAAUGGCUCACCAAGGCUUUGACGGGUAGCUGGUCUGAGAGGAUGGUCAGCCACACUGGGACUGAGACACUGCCCAGACUCCUACGGGAGGCUGCAGUCGAGAAUCAUUCGCAAUGGGCGAAAGCCUGACGAUGCGACGCCGCGUGCAGGAUGACGGCCUUCGGGUUGUAAACUGCUGUGAUGGGGGAACAAUUGGCAGAUCAUGAACAGUGAUUUGUCUUGAUAGUACCCCAAGAGGAAGCCACGGCUAACUCUGUGCCAGCAGCCGCGGUAAUACAGAGGUGGCAAGCGUUGUUCGGAUUUACUGGGCGUAAAGGGUGCGUAGGCGGCAUCAUAUGUCGAAUGUGAAAUCCCACGGAUUAUCUGUGGAACUGCAUACGAAACUGUGGUGCUAGAGGACAGGAGAGGAGGGCGGAAUUCUCGGUGUAGCGGUGAAAUGCGUUGAUAUCGAGAAGAACGCCGGUGGCGAAGGCGGCCCUCUGGACUGUAUCUGACGCUGAGGCACGAAAGCUAGGGGAGCAAACAGGAUUA